GAUGAACGCUGGCGGCGUGCUUAACACAUGCAAGUCGAACGGAAAGGCUCCUGCUUGCAUGGGUACUCGAGUGGCGAACGGGGGAGUAACACGUGGGUGAUCUGCCCUGCACUUCGUGAUAAGCCUGGGAAACUGGGUCUAAUACCGGAUAGGACGAUUGUUUGGAUGCCAUUGUGGAAAGUUUUUCGGUGUGGGAUGGGCUCGCGGCCUAUCAGCUUGUUGGUGGGGUAAUGGCCUACCAAGGCGUCGACGGGUAGCCGGCCUGAGAGGGUGUACGGCCACAUUGGGACUGAGAUACGGCGCAGACUCCUACGGGAGGCAGUAGUGGGGAAUAUUGCACAAUGGGCGCAAGCGUGAUGCAGAGACGCCGCGUGGGUGAUGACGGCCUUCGGGUUGUAAACUCCUUUGGAUAGGGCCGAAGCGCAAGUGACGGUACCUGGAGAAGAAGCACCGGCUAACUACGUG
rnacentral:rRNA from 1 species